rnacentral:rRNA from 1 species
UACGUAGGGUGCGAGCGUUGUCCGGAAUUAUUGGGCGUAAAGAGCUCGUAGGUGGCUUGUCACGUCGGGUGUGAAAGCUUGGGGCUUAACUCCGGGUCUGCAUUCGAUACGGGCUGGCUAGAGGUAGGUAGGGGAGAACGGAAUUCCUGGUGUAGCGGUGAAAUGCGCAGAUAUCAGGAGGAACACCGGUGGCGAAGGCGGUUCUCUGGGCCUUACCUGACGCUGAGGAGCGAAAGCGUGGGGAGCGAACAGG